AUCCUUCUGGUUCAUACAUAUGAUGAUUGGGAUUUCUCGCGCGUGCGUGAGAUGUGCCGCCCUGCUUAUUCUUGUUACGCACAGGUACAUUACCCAUCUGAUU